rnacentral:rRNA from 1 species
UACGUAGGGGGCGAGCGUUGUCCGGAUUUAUUGGGCGUAAAGCGCAUGCAGGCGGUCCUGUAAGUUUGGAGUGACAGUUUCCGGCUCAACCGGGAAAGUGCUUUGAAAAACUGCGGGACUUGAGGGCUUCAGAGGGACACGGAAUUCCGGGUGGAGUGGUGAAAUGCGUAGAUAUCCGGAGGAACACCGAAGGCGAAGGCAGUGUCCUGGGGAGCACCUGACGCUCAGAUGCGAAAGCCAGGGGAGCGAACGGG